rnacentral:rRNA from 1 species
UCGACUCCAUGAAGUCGGAAUCGCUAGUAAUCGUAGAUCAGAAUGCUACGGUGAAUACGUUCCCGGGCCUUGUACACACCGCCCGUCACACCAUGGGAGUGGGUUGCAAAAGAAGUAGGUAGCUUAACCUCCGGGAGGGCGCUUACCACUUUGUGAUUCAUGACUGGGGUGAAGUCGUAACAAGGUAACCGUAGGGGAACCUGCGGUUGGAUCACCUCCUUACCUAGUUGAUACUGAAUGUGAGUGUUCACACAGAUUGUCUGAUAGAAAAUGAGCAGAGAGCGUCUGCGAAGCUGACUAAUGUCCCCUUCGUCUAGAGGCCCAGGACACCGCC